rnacentral:lncRNA from 1 species
AAUCUACUCCUGAAAUCAUUGUUGCACUAUAUGCUAACUAACUGGAUGUAAAUUUAAAAAAGAAAAAAAAAUCUCAUCAUUCCAUUUAAGACCCUUAUAAAAAGGAGAAAACAUCAUCAGGAAACCCAGCUCUGCCAUUGGCUAGCUGUGCAGAUGUGAGCAAGUUACUUUACCUCUCUAAGCUACAAUGCUUCUUUUAGAAAAUGAGAGACUCAGACUAGAUGAUCUCAGAGGUCCCUUAAGACCUUUCACACUUUCAUUCAACAAAUAUUGGUUGAGGUCCUCCUAUGUGCCAGGCCCUGAGCCAAGCACUGGGACUGCAGCUAUGAAUUGAAGUCUAUUCACUGGACUCAAAUUUCCCAUAGGAGUAUUUGACAGCUCAGGAAAAAGAGGGCUCCUAUUUAAAACAAAACAAAACAAAACAAAAAAACCUGGGUGUUUUAGGCUGUUCCAGCUCUCACUAUCUUCAUCCUGCCUUUUCCAGGUGAAAUCUCAGGUCAGGCCCACCUCACCACGGCCAUGGUGGCUUCAUCCACCAAAAACACUGGAAAGCCAAAAUGGGUGCGCUAUAGGGGUCUUCUAUGUUUGUGAACCUCACAGCUGUGGUGGAUGUGGGAGCACACAGCCAGGGAGCCCCAUUGAAGAGGAACACACUGCCAGUCUCCUCCUCCUUAGCAGAGCCACCUCACCUGAGAUGUGCACUGCCUGGGAGUGACCACUGAGCAAGGAGGGCAUUCACAGCCCCAACUAUUGAGCCAUUGCAGGACCCCUUUCUCUGUCACUUCUAGUCCUAUAGGCCCUGACUCCUCCCUCUGCCCAAUUCUGCUUCCUCCCUCUCCUCCCAAGUGUUGGACCCUAGAAACCAUCUGCAUCCCAGCAAUUGCUCCAGAGACCCCCACAUGUGGUGAUUGAGACCAUACUAGGAGCAACAGUGGUAAAGAAAAUAUGACAGUGCACUCAGGAUGUGCUUUUGUUUAUCAAGGAAAAAGAGAUUCGUUUGUCUAAAGUUUUUAUUUACUACAGAUUGGGAAAAGGGGCUGUGAACGAUACAACUUGAAUGAAAAUAGUAAGUUAUAGAAGGUUUGAAGACAGUGAACUUUAUUUUCCUUGGUUUGAAACGUUGCAAAUAAUGG